rnacentral:piRNA from 1 species
UUCAAUAUUGGUCUAAGCUUAGGAUUCAC